rnacentral:rRNA from 1 species
GAUGAACGCUGGCGGCGUGCUUAACACAUGCCAGUCGAACGAAGCAUUUGCGACAGAUUUUUUCGGAAUGAAGUUGCUUAUGACUGAGUGGCGGACGGGUGAGUAACGCGUGGGUAACCUGCCUUGUACUGGGGGAUAGCAGCUGGAAACGGCUGGUAAUACCGCAUAAGCGCACAAUGUUGCAUGACAUGGUGUGAAAAACUCCGGUGGUAUAAGAUGGACCCGCGUCUGAUUAGCUAGUUGGUGAGAUAACAGCCCACCAAGGCGACGAUCAGUAGCCGACCUGAGAGGGUGACCGGCCACAUUGGGACUGAGACACGGCCCAGACUCCUACGGGGGGCAGCAGUGGGGAAUAUUGCACAAUGGAGGAAACUCUGAUGCAGCGACGCCGCGUGAGUGAAGAAGUAAUUCGUUAUGUAAAGCUCUAUCAGCAGGGAAGAUAGUGACGGUACCUGACUAAGAAGCUCCGGCUAAAUACGUG